UGGUCUGGGAUGGAGAUCCUGUCGAACUCGAUGAGAACGAUGAGGAUUCGAUCACCUAUAUGGAUGCAAUGCAGAGAUCCAACUCUAAUGAAUAGCUUGAAGCCAUGAGAUCCGAAAUGGAGUCCAUGAAGGUCAAUGAUGUAUGGACAUUAGUUGACCCAUCUAAAGAGAUAAAGCCCAUAGGAUGUAAGUUGGUCUUU
rnacentral:lncRNA from 1 species